rnacentral:ncRNA from 12 species
CUCUAAUAUCAAUUGAGAUUAUAUAUUUUAUGGAAUAUAUACAGUAAUGUAUUAGAUAUUAAAGAGGUUUGCCCCAUCCUAAUUUAGGUAAAUAUGUAUCAAUAAAAUGUGUAUUAGUAGAUUUUUUGAAAACAUACAUUUUAU